rnacentral:snRNA from 1 species
GUGCUCACUUUGGCAGCACAUAUACUAAAAUUGGUACAAUACAGAGAAGAUUAGCAUGGCCCCUGUGUAAGGAUGACAUGCAAAUUUGUGAAGUGUUCCAUAUUAAA